AGAACAACGAAUCUCAUGACAAUAUCACAAUUCGCUCCGCAGUUAAUGACGAGUGCGUUAGUUUACAUCCGGGAUAAUAAGCAAAACAACAUGAAGUGCCGAGCACUCCUAGACACGUGUGCCACUGAAUUUCAUAUCAGAGUCCGUCGUGAAACGCUUGAAUUUGGUGGUCAGAUAGCCUAUAUCAAUCGAUGCAGUUAAUGAUACGAGCAUCCAAUCAAAGGGUGUGCAAAUUACCGUACAAUUGGUGUAUAACGAUUUUUGUAAAACAUUGAUUUUUGUAAAUGUGUUUAACGGUACCAACUAUUACGGAUAUGAGUCCAGGGGAGGUAUUUCCGCGAGACACUAUUAAAGUACCCUCGAAUAUCAAACUUACAGAUCCGGAAUUUCAUGUACCGCGGGCUAUCGAUAUUUGUUAAUCGGAGCAAGCUAUGCCACGCUAUCGUUGUUCUUGAUCGACCAAAUCAAUUUAUCCCAUGAGGAUCACAAUCUGCAUUUGCAAAAAACCAGGUUAAGUAGAGUGGUCGCCGGAAACGCAUCAUUGCAAGACUCACUAAUUCCCGCGAAUUAUUGUUUAACGAAUUUAAAGAAACAGUUGGUUAAAUUCUGGAAAAUCGAGGAAGUUGCUACAGAUAGACUUCCGUCUGAAAAAGGAAAACAAUGCGAAGCCUAUUUCUUGGAAAAUGUUUCUCGCGAUACGGACAGGCGUUACACUGUUCGUUUGCCGUUCCGCAUGACAGAUAGGUAUCUAGGCGAAUUGCGCGCGACUGCGCUUAAACACUUGUCCUCGUUAGAGCAUAAACUGUCUUAAAACUAUAAAUACGAUCUGUUUUCACCAAUUUUACGACGCGAAACAGGCCGGUAUAGUCGAUUCUUACAUUUAAGACUGUCUUAAGUACAAUCUUAAAAUGUCAUAAGUCAAUCCGAGGACUGUAUUAGCAUCUUAAGACAUUAUUAAAGGGCCGUAUUCAUAGUCAGAACUUAUUUUUAAGACCGCCUUAAGCACAGUCUUAAGAUUCCUCUAGAUUCAUAGUAAAAAAAGAAUUUAAGCAAGUACUCAAGGCAUACCUUGUUCAAGAUGAUCUUAUUUGGAAAAGUCUGAAUGUGAUUCACAAUCACAUCUAAGCAUUUGAUUGAGGCUACCUUGUUAACUAUGAAUUCAGUCAUUUAAGAUAGCCUUAUUUCACGUACAUAUUGAUAAAUAAGACGAAGAUGUGUCUGAGGACUUAAGCAAUGGAUCUUCACGAAAAUGUAUAUAAGGACUUAAGCAAUGGUUUUUGGAAUAUUAAGCGAGUGAUAAUUUGUAAAUAGUUGCUUCGGUUGUACUUUUAUGUAUAAUUGACCUAGAUUGAUAAUAGAGGUCUGCAUUUUUCUGCUUUUUAUACUUUCUUCUAUUUUACAUCGUUUAUAUGUGCUAUAAGCUUAACCUAAUCAUUUUGUUUUGGAAUUUUUUAAAGGACGGUUUGAAAGCUUGUAUUUUCACCGGUAGAAUGACAAAAAACUCCUCUUGUUAUGACAAUGGAUUUGGAAAAUCUGCGAAAUCUAGAGAUGGAUGAGUUAAAUUUUUCAAAUGAUGAAGAAGAAAGGCUGAUACGUGCUCCUAAGCGAUAUUUCCGUGAUUAUCAAAAUCCUUUUGAAUUCUACAGUGAAUGGGAAUUUAAAAGAAGAUUCUGUUUUUCCAAAAAUUCAAUAAUGUUUGGUAUUUUAUCUUUAAUAGAAGAAGGAUUUGCUAAAAUAAACAAUCGAGGCUUGCCAAUAUCUCCUGUUCUACAAUUAUUAAUAUGUUUAUGAUUUUAUUCAACAGCAAGUUUUCAGGGGAUAUAAUAACAAUAUCACAAUCAAUAAUUUCACAAAUUGUGUUUAGAGUGUCCAUUUUAUUAGCUAGCUACAUUAAAUCGAUAUAUAAAAAUGCCGUUAUCACAAGAAUCACGUUUUGAAAAUAAACGAUUUAAGGAACUUGGAUGUGGUAAUGGAGCCAUAGGUCUACCUAGUACUGAUGGCGCAAUAGAUUGCACUCAUAUUCGUUUGGUACAUACAAGAUCUCAAAAUGUUGAUGAGAUUUUCAGAAGUAGAAAAGGAAAGAAAACUUUUCUUUGAAUGUUUAUGUAUAUACAUGUAUAAAUAAUUUAGUAGCGUUUUUCAUUGGCAGAACUGAUGCACACUCAGUGCACUUUAAAGCUUUUGUAUAUAAAUCGAUGUAAAGAUGUAUAUUUAAUAUAAUAAAAAUAUAGAAAUGAGUUAAAUCGCGAAAUUCUCAAUAUAUUUUUUUAUGAUAUUUGAAAAUAUAGAGUGCAUUGAAGUACGAUCAUUCACUGAGCGCUCAGUGAACUCUUGAUGAGCUACCUGUUUGAUAUAUACUUUAUCAAUUGAGAUCUCACUUUUAUAUUCAAAUUAGAUUAGUGUACAACGGCUUUAAUGUGCACUGAGUGCGUACUAGGUUUUGCUAAUGAAAAACGC
rnacentral:lncRNA from 1 species